GACAGAGGGUGCAAACGUUGUUCGGAAUUACUGGGCGUAAAGCGCGUGUAGGCGGCUAAGUAAGUCGGGCGUGAAAUCCCACGGCUCAACCGUGGAAGUGCACUCGAAACUGCAUAGCUAGAGUCCUGGAGAGGAAGGUGGAAUGCUUGGUGUAGAGGUGAAAUUCGUAGAUAUCAAGCGGAACACCGGUGGCGAAGGCGGCCAUCUGGCCCCAUUUUUUUGACGCUGAGGCGCGAA
rnacentral:rRNA from 1 species